GCCAGGUGCGGUCGUGCGUGCCUGUAAUCCCAGCGGCUUGGAAGGCUGAGACAGGAGAAUUGUGAGUUCAAAGCCAGUCUUAGCAAAAGCAAGACCCUCUGUCUCUA
rnacentral:sRNA from 1 species